rnacentral:rRNA from 1 species
CCUACGGGCGGCUGCAGUGGGGAAUAUUGCACAAUGGGGGAAACCCUGAUGCAGCGACGCCGCGUGAGUGAAGAAGUUUUUCGGUAUGUAAAGCUCUAUCAGCCGGGAAGAAAAUGCCGGUACCUGAUUCAGAAGCCCCGGCUAACUACGGGCCAGCAGCCGCGGUAAUACGGAGGGGGCAAGCGUUAUCCGGAUUUACUGGGUGUAAAGGGAGCGUAGACGGCAGCAGAAGUCUGGCGUGAAAUGCCGGGGCUUAACCCCGGAACUGCUGUGGAAACUGGGCAGCUAGAGUGCAGGAGAGGUAAGGGGAAUGCGUAGUGUAGCGGUGAAAUGCGUAGAUAUUAGGAGGAACACCAGUGGCGAAGGCGGCUUACUGGA